UGAGCGCACUAUCGGACAUCAAAUACGAGAUAUUGGUGCGGUUCAAUCAGAAAACCGUACUCUUUUGUUUUAAAGAUCGGUUUAUUUGAUUGAGCCGUGCCAAUAUCACGCGUUUA
rnacentral:pre_miRNA from 1 species